ACGGAUUUUUCGCGCGUUACUCGGAAUUACUGGGCGUAAAGCGUGCGUAGGCGGUUAGCUAAGACAGGUGUGAAAUCCCCGGGCUUAACCUGGGAACUGCGUUCGUGACUGUAGGGCUUGAGUGCGGCAGAGGAGGGUGGAAUUCCACGUGUAGCAGUGAAAUGCGUAGAGAUGUGGAGGAACACCGAUGGCGAAGGCAGCCCCCUGGAUUGACACUGACGCUCAUGCGCGAAAGCGUGGGUAGCAAACAG
rnacentral:rRNA from 1 species